rnacentral:rRNA from 1 species
UACGUAGGGUGCAAGCGUUAAUCGGAAUUACUGGGCGUAAAGCGUGCGCAGGCGGUUGUGCAAGACAGAUGUGAAAUCCCCGGGCUCAACCUGGGAACUGCAUUUGUGACUGCACAGCUUGAGUGCGGCAGAGGGGGAUGGAAUUCCACGUGUAGCAGUGAAAUGCGUAGAUAUGUGGAGGAAUACCGAUGGCGAAGGCAGCCCCCUGGGAUAACACUGACGCUCAUGCACGAAAGCGUGGGGAGCAAACAGG